GAUGAAGAACGUAGCGAAAUGCGAUAAGUAGUGUGAAUUGCAGAAUUCAGUGAAUCAUCGAAUCUUUGAACGCACAUUGCGCCCCUUGGUAUUCCAUGGGGCAUGCCUGUUCGAGCGUCAUUUGUACCUUCAAGCUCUGCUUGGUGUUGGGUGUUUGUCUGGCCUCUGCGUGUAGACUCGCCUCAAAACAAUUGGCAGCCGGCGUAUUGAUUUCGGAGCGCAGUACAUCUCGCGCUUUGCACUCAUAACGACGACGUCCAAAAGUACAUUUUUACACUCUUGACCUCGGAUCAGGUAGGGAUACCCGCUGAACUUAAGCAUAUCAAUAAGCGGAGGA
rnacentral:misc_RNA from 1 species